UACGAAGGGUGCUAGCGUUGUUCGGAAUCACUGGGCGUAAAGCGUGCGUAGGCGGCUCUGCAAGUCAGGGGUGAAAUCCCACAGCUCAACUGUGGAAUUGCCUUUGAAACUGCAUGGCUGGAGUAUUGGAGGGGUCAGGGGAAUUCCUAAUGUAGUGGUGAAAUACGUAGAUAUUAGGAGGAACACCGGUGGCGAAGGCGCCUGACUGGACAAUAACUGACGCUGAGGCACGAAAGCGUGGGGAUCAAACAGG
rnacentral:rRNA from 1 species